GCUCCACCUGCUGUUCUACUGGUUGGAAGAGAUUGUGGAAAAGCAUCAGCGAGACAAGACAAGACUGGACCAAUCAGGAGAGAGAAGACACAGAGGACUGAGGAGACGCAGAAAAUCCUGCUGGAAAUCCAGAGAAGAUGUUUCCUGAUGCAUCAGGGGGACAGCUGAGGACGGGACACAGCAUAAAGAGACAGAUCAUGUGAAGCAGGUUGGAUCUCCUGAACCUGGAAUCCUCCACCUUCAACACCACCAGUCAGGAGGAAGAUAAGAGAACCCAGUGGACAACAAAAGUAAGAACAUUUACUUUUACACAACCAAAAGUUUUCAAUAUGCAUGAAGUUGAGGUUGAUGCUCAAAUCUGAUUCCUACUUUCUGCUGUACUUUCUCCUCACUGACCCUUUUGUCUUGUCUGAUUUUUUUCAUUGAGUCCUUUCAUAACAGCAGAGCUUUGAUGAGCUUUGUGCUGAUGGAAGGAGGAUCAGGAAUAGAGCAGAGGACCUGCUGAUCUACUGGUUCUAGUAGAUUUUAUAAAUGCAUGACUGAGACAAGUCAACAUCACUGGACCAAUGAGGAGAGAGAAGACACAGAGGACUGAGGAGACGCAGGAAAUCCUGCUGGGAAUCCAGAGAAGUUUCCUGUUGCAUCAGGGGGACAGCUGAGGACGAGACGCAGAAUAAAGAGACAGAGAUCAUGUGAAAUUCAAGGAUGGCCUUUCAACCCUGGAUGUCAUUUAUGCUUCGGAGCUUCAUGCUUCUGUGUUCAGGCCCUUUAUGUGCACAAGGGUGGAAAAGCUGACAUCAGAAAUGUUAGAGGAAAUCUUUGAAGUUCAGCUCAGCGAAAAGGACAGCACCAGACGACAAGAAGAAACCAGACUGCAAGGAUUCUCCUUGAGACAGACCAAACCUCGCUUUCCUGUUCAAACACUGUCAAGAUACCAAAGCCCAAAACAAAUGAUCAAUUCCAAAAAAAACAUGGACUUUGGGAUAAAAACUCUUUGGACUUUAUUAAGUUCAAAUACAGAAUCACAAAACAUAAAUGUGGAUGUUGGCCUGUGAAGGCAGAUGUUAACUUGUGAAACCUGCUCUGUUCAACUGUCACUACCAACUGUUAUGACUAUUGUUGAAAACUGUUGUAAUGCUUCAUUGUAUUUACAUGUAAAUAUUAGAAAUGAAAAUUUUUAUGUCAUCAAAAAUUGUUGCAAUAAAAAGUGACAUACUAUUAA